AAGUAAUGCCCAGAGGAAUCCAGUGUGGGAUUAUGACAAGCAAUGGCAGUUAGCUGGAUUUGCUGCCACUUUCUAACAGUCAGCAGCAAGAUGAACUUGGACCGUCAAAAAUAAACUCCAGGAAUGAAGUGAUUGCAGGAGUGCUAUUCAGGUGC
rnacentral:lncRNA from 13 species